CCUACGGGUGGCAGCAGUGAGGAAUAUUGGUCAAUGGACGCAAGUCUGAACCAGCCAUGCCGCGUGCAGGAAGAAGGCUCUAUGAGUUGUAAACUGCUUUUGUACGAGGGUAAACGCAGAUACGCGUAUCUGUCUGAAAGUAUCGUACGAAUAAGGAUCGGCUAACUCCGUGCCAGCAGCCGCGGUAAUACGGAGGAUUCAAGCGUUAUCCGGAUUUAUUGGGUUUAAAGGGUGCGUAGGCGGUCGGAUAAGUUAGAGGUGAAAUGCCGUGGCUCAACCUCGGAAUUGCCUCUGAUACUGUUAGGCUAGAGAGUAGUUGAGGUAGGCGGAAUGUAUGGUGUAGCGGUGAAAUGCUUAGAGAUCAUACAGAACACCGAUUGCGAAGGCAGCUUACCAAGCUAUUUCUGACGUUGAGGCACGAAAGCGUGGGGAGCAAACAGGAUUAGAUACCCUUGUAGUC
rnacentral:rRNA from 1 species